UCCGCACAAGAAUAGCAGUAGGAGAGAGAAACAAUGAUGAGCGGAUAAAGCUGUUUAAGCUGAUAAGCAUGCAGUAGAACUGUGGAAGAAGCGAUUGAAGGCAUGGCCCUUGGAGCAGAGAAGGCGAUAAUGGAGAAGUACUCCCAGCCCUGCUGCAUGGGGACCCAGACCGCUUUGUCAACAUAUGGAUCGGUCGGCCGCUUUCUCUGUCCCCGCCUUUUUCAAUCUCCAUGCGGCAGCUCUGUAAUCAGUUCAAGUGUUCAUUUCCUUAUCCCAUUUCCCAUUUCUAAUUCUAGGUUGGCAUGUCCGGGCAUUUCAAUUUGAGCAAUACCAUUGGAAGAAAACAAUGAAGAAGAACCAGCCAUUGCAAAUUUAAGUGGAAUGAGAUGGACGAAGAAACUCGAGACUAGUAUUAUUUCAACAGGCCUUGCUACUUCCCGUAGCUUAAUAUUUAGCUUAAUAUUUCACAAUCUUGAUGGAUUUUCGUGAACAAAUGGGACCGGCAGAAAUUACAGGCUUAUCCUUACCAUCUUUGUUAGUUCUGCUUUGUAUUGUUCAAACACCUUCACUAUUAGGUGAAAUGCUUCCUGAGGUUCCUCAUGAUACCGUUGGAUCUCUUAAGUGGUGUUUUGAUGCAUACUUAGUUCUGUAAUAACUAGUAUAUAGCAAGAAUGAAGCGAAAUGGUUUACAAAGA